AACGAACGCUGGCGGCAGGCCUAACACAUGCAAGUCGAACGCCCUAGCAAUAGGGAGUGGCAGACGGGUGAGUAACGCGUGGGAACCUUCCCUGUGGUGCGGAAUAACUCGCCGAAAGGCGUGCUAAUACCGCAUAAGCCCGCAAGGGGAAAGGAUUUAUCGCCAUAGGAUGGGCCCGCGUAGGAUUAGCUAGUUGGUGAGGUAAUGGCUCACCAAGGCGACGAUCCUUAGCGGUUUGAGAGAAUGACCAGCCACACUGGGACUGAGACACGGCCCAGACUCCUACGGGAGGGCAGCAGUGGGGAAUCUUGGACAAUGGGCGCAAGCCUGAUCCAGCCAUGCCGCGUGAGUGACG
rnacentral:rRNA from 1 species